UUUACGUUCUCCAUUUUGACACAAACCUCUCGUGAGGGGCGGGCUUAACAGCGGUUCGCUCUUAUUGGCUUGUGAGAUUUUGAUUGACAGCUCAUUGAACCGGAACCCCGGAACAGAAGGUGGCGGUAGUGCACCAAUAAGCUGGAUCCCAACCGCUGUUAAAAAUAACAAGAAGAAGACGAUCGGACGCUGUUUAUCAGCGGAGCUGCAAGUAGUCUAAACAAACGGUAAUAAGAGUAUAUUAAAGAACAUUAUUGAUAAUACACGGAUAUUUUACACGUCAGCAGAGGAAUUACAAUAGUUCAAGAUGAGUAAUCGAGAGGCUCACGGUCCGGAGCACCAACACCAUCCUCCUCGGCCGGACAAUCGAGGCAGCCUGAGAAUUGAGCCUCUAUGGUGUGAUGUUUGUUCAGCUGUCUCUUGUACUAUGAAGAACUGCAAUGGAAGAAGAGACAGUGCUUGAUUCGGCAGGUGAACUGCACCUAUUUUAUGGUGGAGCAACUUUUUCAAGAGAAAUUGUUGACAAUGUCACAGAGGAUGAUGGUGUGGUCGUGGUGCCAGAGAUCUAUUGUCCUUUGUCAGACCAAAAGCCUUUGAUAUCACCAUUGAAUGUCUAGGAGUUAUACCAACAGACACUUGAUGUCAUCCAAAGACUGUGCUCCAUUUAAAUUGUAAAAGUCAUUUUCAGGUUUACAAGAUACAAAAGCUGGUUCACAGAUGUACCUUUCCUUUAAAACUAUUUCCCACCUGUAAUCACAAUGGAGACACAUCUCUGACUGCUGGGCUUCCCCUCUUAUUGUGUUCUGAUUCAUAUGCAUCUGCAGGGUUAUUCAUGGCAACACUUUAUAGCAUUGUGCUGGUAAUUUAUCUUUAUAUAUCAUGCCUUCUCACUACAUCUGUCAGCCUGUGCUUUACAUAUCUGAGAGUCAACGCAGCUAAACAUGAAGGACAAAUGCAAUGCAAGACGUUAUGCAUGUUAUAUAUCGGCAUAUGGAUGAUUAGAUUAGAAACUGCUUUCUGUUGGUGUGUUUAAACAUCACAUGACAUAGAAAAUUAACUGUCCUCCAUUUUCCUCCUUAGAUUUAAUUUGUACUUUAGACGUCAAUGGGUACACUCUCAUGUGUGCUUACCAUCAUUUAUCAAAAUAUCUUCUCAGCAGAAUAAAGAAACUUAAAUAGGUUUACAACAACAUGAGACUGAGUAAAUAAUAACAGAAUUUUCAUUGUUGUGUGAACUAUCCCUUUAAGACUCUGUAAACCAUUCAGAUGCAUGUAAAAUCAUUAACAACUGUUAAACAGCAUCUAUAAAUGAUAAAAAAAAAACAUUA